AGCGCAGGCGGGAAGACAAGUUGGAAGUGAAAACCAUGGGCUCAACCCCAUGAAUUGCUUUCAAAACUGUUUUUCUUGAGUAGUGCAGAGGUAGAUGGAAUUCCCGGUGUAGCGGUGGAAUGCGUAGAUAUCGGGAGGAACACCAGUGGCGAAGGCGGUCUACUGGGCACCAACUGACGCUGAGGCUCGAAAGCAUGGGUAGGCAAACA
rnacentral:rRNA from 1 species